AGUUUAGCAACUUCACGGAGAAACUGGCACCUCUCAGUUUAGUACUGAGCUUCUUCCUCUCUCUCUCUCUCUCUCUCUCUCUCUUCUUAAUCAUUUAUUCCUUCUUCUUUUAUACUCCUCUUCUUUUUCUUCUUGUUCACUCGAGCAACAGAGAGAGAAUAGAGACAGUGAGAUGAGAAGAGAGAGAGAUCGAGAGAUGGAGAGAGUGUGAUUAGAGAGAGAGAGAGAGAGAUCUGUUGAGGGAGAGAUGCAGACGAGAGGGAGGGAACCCGAGAGAGAGAGAGACCGAGCAGAAGAGAGACGAAACAGGAAGAGAGGCCGUGAUCCGUCGACCCAGGUGGCGCGAUUCUGGUGGCCAGAAUCAAAAUCCGGCGAGGCAGUGCGAUUUCUGGCGGGCCAAAGUGUUUUCUAACCCGAUCCACGAAGACCCGAGAACCGUGAGACCCGAUCGUCGGUGGCCGGUCCUCCAGGAGCCGAUUUCCGGCCGUUCAACAACGGGUCGAGGCGGUGGCGAAGUCCGGUGGCCGGAGGAUGCAUUUUCCGGCGAGUCAGACCUGGGUUUUCUGUGGGUCGUCGUCGGAGGUGAUUUCCGGUGACUUGGAGUGCGAUUUCCGGCGAUUCCAGCUCACCGAUUUCCGGUGGAUUUUCUGUACAAUCCUUGAUGUAAAAGCUCGACCCCGACGCAAAUGACAAGUUCAGGUAAGGGGAUACAACACCGAAAAACCUCAAACAAGAUUUUUUUACAAAUCUUUUGAGAAAAGUGUUGGGGAAUUUUACAAAGCAUUUACUUAUGUGAUUUUUAAUGCCAAGCUUUAUUACUCAUAUGUUUUUAUUCAAUAAUUAUGUGCAUAAACUACAGUUAUGAUUAAGAGCAUUUUUAAGUAUUGGUAUAUGCAUAAUUACAGUUGUGAAUAAGAGUAUUUCAAAGUUAUUGCAAUUA